rnacentral:rRNA from 1 species
UCGGGAAUUUUGGGCAAUGGGCGAAAGCCUGACCCAGCAACGCUGCGUGAAGGAUGAAGUUUCUCGGAAUGUAAACUUCACAAGAACGGGAAGAAUAAGUCCUGGUUAAUACCCGGGACGAUGACGGUACCGUUGGUAAGCUCCGGCUAACUCCGUGCCAGCAGCCGCGGUAAUACGGGGGGAGCAAGCGUUGUUCGGAUUUACUGGGCGUAAAGGGCGCGUAAGCGGCGCAACAAGUCACUUGUGAAAUCUCCGGGCUUAACUCGGAGCGGCCAAGUGAUACUGUCGUGCUAGAGUGCGGAAGGGGCAACUGGAAUUCUCGGUGUAGCGGUGAAAUGCGUAGAUAUCGAGAGGAACACCUGCGGCGAAGGCGGGUUGCUGGGCCGACACUGACGCUGAGGCGCGAAAGCCAGGGGAGCGAA